AGCUGGUUUCUCAAGAAAAGAAUCUCAGUUCCGCCUAAAGUUAUUUAAAUCCUUACAAAUACUCUCAGACUUUAGAGUAAAUCAAAUAAGGUACAGCCUAUUUGAUACAGAACACAACCUUCAACAACGGGUAAUACAACUUAAAACUUAAGUGGGCCUAAGAGCAGCCACCUUUUAAAAAGCGUCAAAGCUUACACUAUACUUCAAUUCGUAAACCACUAUUGAUCCCUUCAACCCUAUUGAGAACUCCUAUAACCCUUAUAGGACAUUUUAUGCUAAAACUAGUAACAAGAGGUUACCCCUCUCUACAAUGUAAACUCAAACCAGCUUGAACCCCUCACUGGUAUCCAACAGACUUUGACUAAAGUAAUAACUCUUCUAGAAAAUAUUACUUCCACCACUGUUAACCUAACACAAGAACAUUUUAAGAAAGAUUAAAAGAAAAAGAAGGAACUCGGCAAAUAUUAAGUCCGCCUGUUUACCAAAAACAUCACCUCUUGCCCUCACCAUAAGAGGCCCAGCCUGCCCAGUGAUUUUAUUCAACGGCCGCGGUAUCCUAACCGUGCAAAGGUAGCGUAAUCACUUGUCUCCUAAAUAGAGACUAGUAUGAAAGGCAUCACGAGACUUAUACUGUCUCCUCUCUCUAAUCAGUGAACCUAAUCUCCCCGUGAAGAAGCGGGGGUAAUUUUAUAAGACGAGAAGACCCUAUGGAGCUUAAAACAGUACUACACGUGCCACAUAUAUCCCCUUACCAAGGUCCUAAUUCCAUAAGCACGCUGAUUACAUGUUUUUGGUUGGGGUGACCGCGGAGAAUAAACUACCCUCCACGAUGAAAGUGGUACUACCACUAAACGAUAAGCCACAACUUUAUCCAUCAAUAAACUGACAUUAAUUGACCCAAUAAUUUGAUCAACGAACCAAGUUACCCUAGGGAUAACAGCGCAAUCCACUUUAAGAGCCCCUAUCGACAAGUGGGCUUACGACCUCGAUGUUGGAUCAGGGUAUCCCAGUGGUGCAGCCGCUACUAAAGGUUCGUUUGUUCAACGAUUAAAACCCUACGUGAUCUGAGUUCAGACCGGAGUAAUCCAGGUCAGUUUCUAUCUAUAACAGAGUUAUUUUUAGUACGAAAGGACCAAAAUAACAUAGCCAAUAUAUAUUACAAGCUAUAACUAGUUAUUUUAGACCACCACUCAAAAAAUAACUAACCUAUUUUCCUUUUCAAGAAAAGAAUAGUUAAUGUAGCAAAUCCAGGCU
rnacentral:rRNA from 1 species